rnacentral:rRNA from 1 species
GACGAACGCUGGCGGCGUGCCUAACACAUGCAAGUCGAGCGGGAACCUCAGGAGGGGUAACCCUUCUGAGGGGAGAGCGGCGAACGGGUGAGUAACACGUGGGCAACCUGCCCCGGACACCGGGAUAACCCAGGGAAACCUGAGCUAAUACCGGAUACUCCGGCGCGAUCGCAUGGUCGUGCCGGGAAAGCUCCGACGGUCCGGGAUGGGCCCGCGGCCUAUCAGCUUGUUGGUGGGGUAACGGCCCACCAAGGCGACGACGGGUAGCUGGUCUGAGAGGACGGCCAGCCACACUGGGACUGAGACACGGCCCAGACUCCUACGGGAGGCAGCAGUGGGGGAUCUUGCGCUAAUGCGCGAAAGCGUGACGCAGCGACGCCGCGUGGGGAUGAAGGCCUU